CCGGGCACAUGCGGACGCCCGAUUAGACGGCACCCGUCCAAGUCCGC
rnacentral:ncRNA from 1 species